rnacentral:rRNA from 1 species
UACGGAGGGUGUAAGCGUUAUCCGGAUUCACUGGGUUUAAAGGGUGCGUAGGAGGGCAGGUAAGUCAAUGGUGAAAUCUCCAAGCUUAACUUGGAAACUGCCGUUGAUACUAUCUGUCUUGAAUAUUGUGGAGGUGAGCGGAAUAUGUCAUGUAGCGGUGAAAUGCUUAGAUAUGACAUAGAACACCAAUUGCGAAGGCAGCUCACUACUCAAUCAUUGACUCUGAGGCACGAAAGCGUGGGGAUCAAACAGG